rnacentral:rRNA from 1 species
UUCGCAAUGCCCGAAAGGGUGACGAAGCGACGCCGCGCGCGGGAAGAAGGCCUUCGGGUUGUAAACCGCUGUCGGGAGUUAAGAAAUGUAAGGAUGUUAAUAGCAUCUUUGCUUGACUAAGGCUCCGGAGGAAGCCACGGCUAACUCUGUGCCAGCAGCCGCGGUAAUACAGAGGCGGCAAGCGUUGUUCGGAAUUAUUGGGCGUAAGGAGCACGUAGGCGGCUAUGUAAGUCGGUUGUGAAAGCCUUCCGCUCAACGGGAGAACAGCAUCCGAUACUGCAUGGCCUGAGUGCGGGAGGGGAGAGUGGAACUUCUGGUGGAGCGGUGAAAUGCGUAGAUAUCAGAAGGAACGCCGGCGGCGAAAGCGGCUCUCUGGCCCAUAACUGACGCUGAGUGUGCGAAAGCUAGGGGAGCAAACGGGAUUAGAUACCCCGGUAGUCCUAGCCGUAAACGAUGGGCACUAAGUAGAGGGGUUUU